rnacentral:rRNA from 1 species
AUGCCGCCGGCGUGCCCCUGGUCAUCAGGCAGGAGUUAUCGACAGCCUCAGAUGGAAGAAGACCUCCUGCUGCAAAGGAUGGAGCAAGGUGAAUGCGGCGAAACUGAUGAUUAUUCUUCCGCCGUCCGUCGGUUCAUGGCCGUCUGGACGAUCUUCUUCAGGUGUUUUACUACGUUGGCAAGCAUGGCGUUGGUGGUUUACCUCUUUGUGGCAAGGAACAAGUAUCAUGAUCCUGAAUUGCAGAAUCCUGGGCACAUGGCGUUCCUUGUGUUCAUAGCUAUUUGCAUGAUUCCUAUCGGGUAUCUGUGUACUCCAGAUGUCUAA